GAUGAACGCUGGCGGCGUGCCUAAUCCAUUCACGUCGAGCGAAGCGGGGACGGGUGAGUAACCCGUGGAUAACCUCCUAUAAGACUGGGAUAACUUCGGGAAACCGGAGCUAAACCGGAUACUUAUAUAUGUAUCCGCGCUACAUUAGCUAGUUGGUAAGGUUACGGCUUACCAAUGGAACGAUGCAUAGCCGACCUGAGAGAGUGAUCGUCCACACUGGAACGGAGGCACGGUCCAGACUCCUACGGGAGGCAGCAGUAGGGAAUCUGCCGCAAUGGGCGAAAGCCUGAAGGAGCAACGCCGCGUGAGUGAGGAAGGUCUGCGGAUCGGAAAACGCUGUUAUGAGGGAAGCGGUACCUAAUCAGAAAGCCACGGAUAACUACGUGCCAGAGCCGCGGUAAUUC
rnacentral:rRNA from 1 species